GAUAAACGCUGGCGGUGUACAUAAGACAUGCAAGUCGAACGGGAGAAGACAGGAAGAUUUAUCUACUUGUUGGACACCGUGGCGGACGGGUGAGUAACACGUAAGCAACCUGCCUAUAAGAGGGGAAUAACAGUGAGAAAUUACUGAUAAUACCGCAUAAGCUGGAGGUAUCGCAUGAUACAUUCAGAAAAGAUUUAUCGCUUAUAGAUGGGCUUGCGUCUGAUUAGCUAGUUGGUGAGAUAACAGCUCACCAAGGCGACGAUCAGUAGCCGGAUUGAGAGGUUGAACGGCCACAUUGGGACUGAGACACGGCCCAGACUCCUACGGGAGGCAGCAGUCGGGAAUAUUGCACAAUGGAGGAAACUCUGAUGCAGUGACACCGCGUAUAGGAAGAAGGUCUUAGGAUUGUAAGCUAUUGUCGUGUGAGAAGAAAAUGACCAUCACAGGAGGAGCCCG
rnacentral:rRNA from 1 species